UGUUAUUUUGAACUGGUGACGGAGGAGUGUCUUAUGUUUUUGUUUUCUAAACUGAUUUGUUUUUUGAACUGUUGCCUGGUGCCGCCUAUAUCUCCGUGGGCCUUGCUGCCGAGCGACGAUCGUUGGUUGGGGUCCGUAUCAAGUGCCUGGGUCAGUGAAGCGUGGGCGCUUGUUCCUGUCUGCAUAGCUCGGCGCUGGGUUCUAAACACGCUCUCCAGCCCGGAGCCAGCAUUCCCCUAUACGCAGUGCCAAAACCUCUCUCCGACCCCGGGCGGCUCCUCCAGUGGUCCAGUCAUUUCAGCGGCCCCAAAUGCCCGAGACCCACGCCGGCAGCUCCGCGUCUGAUCCUCGCCACCUCCUUUCCUUUCCAUACUCUGUCAAAUAAAUAUCUUUCUCUGACCUGA